UCGAAAAUCAUGAGCUAUAUAUACCUCUUAAAUUUCUUCACCGUGAUUAGUUUUGUGCCUUUCAGUCUCUUGAGGAUCAUGUGAUCUGCAAUGGUGAUCCAUUCUGGUGUAUCAAAUCAAAUCAUUGAUGAUAUCCAAAGGUUUUUGGUUUAGAACAAGGAAUACACGUUUAAAGCUUUGUUGUAGUUUAUGAUGAAAUGUAAUUAAUAACCUGUUCAUGUUUCUUUAUUCUGUCCUUUUUUGAUAUAUUUUUCAUGAGUAUAGUCUUCGUGUUAUUCGAUCGCCCUUUUAUGAGAAAACUAUAUCUUCUACUAAAACUCAACCCAUGUUCUUGUUUACUGCAUAAACAAAAGAAUUAUUGUAAGCAUACAUCUUUCAAACAUUAUUAUGUUAAUUAUCUUAAAUUAGUAGUAAAUUAUCCCGAUCAAACAAGAGAAGAAAUUCGAGCAAAAACAGUAUCAAGAUUUUCAUUUUUCUUGCUUAUAAGACAGACUAAAGGAAGCAAAUAUGUGUGAAUAUAGUAUAAUUUUAACGGCAUCUCCAAAACUCUUAGCCCUAAAUAACAUAAUGCUAUAUAUAUGAUUAUUUGAUACACUAGUAUGGAUCAUUUUUGAGUCACGUCACAAAGCAAGGUGUUAUGUUGUGUUCUUAGUAUGUACAUGGAAAGGGAAUUAAUCACAUGUUGGAAAGAGCUUUUUGUAAGAAAAGGAAGGCUAUAGAACCAACAAACUAUAGGGAUGAUUACAUCCAAAUACUGCGCAGGGAGUAAUUUUUUUAUGUAUUUCCAUGCAUGGAAGGACUAAUUUACGAACUUGUUAAGGACUAAUUAAUUUACAUCUUUCUUUUUUCAGGGGGAGGUAACACAGACAAAUGUAUUUGUUACUAGUCAUAUAUAUACUUUAGAGAACAAUUAUUUCACAACAAUAUUUCCUAUACUAAGCUGAGAAGUACUUCUUAUACACAAGAUCAUGAAACUGAUUAUUGAGCAGGAUUCUACAGAAAAUUUCUUCCAAAUUCCUGUAUCUUCCUUAUAAUCAGUCACGUGUGUAAUGGAUAGGGCUUACAUCCUAGCAACAUUCUCGAUCGAUAUACCACGAUGCAUUAUUGGAGGUUUUGGAAAUGGAAAACUUAACAAGCCAACAAAGCUAGCUUGGAUAAUGUUGGUUGUUGAUCUGGCAACAGAUCGAGCAAAAGAUAUGCGCUAGGGAGAAAUUCAGAGGUUCAAGUGGAAAUCGAGAAUGAUGAGUGGAUGUAAUUAUCUCCCACUGGUUCGCCAUUUGUGGAUGUGGUGCUGACAAUUAGGAGGUACUUAUUUAUGAUAGAAGAAUUGUGCUAUUACUGGUUACACACACAUGCACAUAUAUUACCUGAUACACAAUUAGGUAGGUUGGAUAAUUAUCACCCGAUACGAUAAUUAUGUGAGACUUUGUAAUUUUAUAAUUAUGUGAGACUUUGUAAUUU